GGACUGUUGAGGACAUGCUGGAGUUGUCCCCUCCUGGUUUGCAAGAGCCGAUUAUUAAAUAUUCGAAAGUGUUGUGAGUCUGCUGUUAAACCACCAGGAAACUGCAUCUCCUGCCUCUGUUGAGUUAGGAGUGGUCAUGUGACUGAGUUUCAGACAACUGGAAAGUGGGCAGAAGAAGUGAUGUGAGUCAAUUUCAAGCCUGGCCCAAAAACCACCUGUGCAAUUCUCCAUUCUCUCUCUCCCUCUGUCCUCUCUCUCAUCCUUUCUCCCUCUCUCUCAUUUUCUCCUCCUUUUGCUUAUCAGCUGAAAUCAGAGGAUCCGCUGAAGAACUCCAAGUCGCUGCCAAAUGGAAAGCCAUCAUAUGAAUAAAUUCUGUUUCCAGAGGACUGGGUAGAGCUCCUUCCACCCCCACCAACCAGAUGACCUAUACUGAACUGUAAUAAAAGAGAAAUAAAUCUUUACUGUGUUAAGCCAA